rnacentral:rRNA from 1 species
GAUGAACGCUGGCGGCGUGCCUAAUACAUGCAAGUCGAACGGAGAGCUAGCAAUAGUUCUUAGUGGCGAACGGGUGAGUAACGCGUUGGUGACCUACCCCGAAGCGGGGGAUAACAGUUCGAAAGGACUGCUAAUACCCCAUAAUAUCUUGGGAAUUAGAAGACUCGAGAUGAAAGGAGCAAUUCGCUUUGGGAGGGGCCUGCGUCCCAUCAGCUAGUUGGUAGGGUAAAAGCCUACCAAGGCGACGACGGGUAGGGGACCUGAGAGGGUGAUCCCCCACACUGGCACUGAAACACGGGCCAGACACCUACGGGUGGCUG